AUUGAACGCUGGCGGCAUGCCUUACACAUGCAAGUCGAACGGUAACAGGUCUUCGGAUGCUGACGAGUGGCGAACGGGUGAGUAAUACAUCGGAACGUGCCCGAGAGUGGGGGAUAACGGAGCGAAAGCUUUGCUAAUACCGCAUACGAUCUACGGAUGAAAGCAGGGGACCGCAAGGCCUUGCGCUCAUGGAGCGGCCGAUGGCAGAUUAGGUAGUUGGUGGGAUAAAAGCUUACCAAGCCGACGAUCUGUAGCUGGUCUGAGAGGACGACCAGCCACACUGGGACUGAGACACGGCCCAGACUCCUACGGGAGGCAGCAGUGGGGAAUUUUGGACAAUGGGCGAAAGCCUGAUCCAGCCAUGCCGCGUGCAGGAUGAAGGCCUUCGGGUUGUAAACUGCUUUUGUACGGAACGAAAAGACUCCUUUUAAUAAAGGGGGUCCAUGACGGUACCG
rnacentral:rRNA from 1 species